GGCAAGUUGGCCGAGUUGGUUAUGGCGCCAGGUUAAGGUCCUGGUGGAGCAAUCCUCCUGGGUUCAAGUCCCAGACUUGUCA
rnacentral:tRNA from 1 species